GGGAAUCUUCCACAAUGGACGCAAGUCUGAUGGAGCAACGCCGCGUGAGUGAAGAAGGUUUUCGGACCGUAAAGCUCUGUUGUUGGUGAAGAAGGAUAGAGGUAGUAACUGGCCUUUAUUUGACGGUAAUCAACCAGAAAGUCACGGCUAACUACGUGCCAGCAGCCGCGGUAAUACGUAGGUGGCAAGCGUUGUCCGGAUUUAUUGGGCGUAAAGCGAGCGCAGGCGGAAGAAUAAGUCUGAUGUGAAAGCCCUCGGCUUAACCGAGGAAUUGCAUCGGAAACUGUUUUCUUGAGUGCAGAAGAGGAGAGUAGAACUCCAUGUGUAGCGGUGGAAUGCGUAGAUAUAUGGAAGAAUACCAGUGGCGAAGGCGGCUCUCUGGUCUGCAACUGACGCUGAGGCUCGAAAGCAUGGGUAGCGAACAGGAUUAGAUACCCUGGUAGUCCAUGCCGUAAACGAUGAGUGCUAAGUGUUGGGAGGCUUCCGCCUCUCAGUGCUGCAGCUAACGCAUUAAGCACUCCGCCUGGGGGAGUACGACCGCAAGGUUGAAAC
rnacentral:rRNA from 1 species